AAUUAUUAUUAGAUUUUUAAAUAAUUAUUCACGAAAUAAAUUGAGCUAAAUUUUUGGUAUUUUUGGAAAUUAUAACUAUAUGUUACAAAAUAUAUUAACUAAAUAGAUUUAGGGGUGAAAGGCCUAUCAAAUUUUAUGAUAUCUUGAAGUAUAUAAAAUAUAUCAAGUAUUUCUAAUUCAACUAUUGAAUGUUUAGGUUCAAUAGUAACAUUAUAUUUUUUAAAAAAUUGUUCAAUUUUUUUAAGUAAAAUUGAGUUAGAGCAUAAAAUAUACAUCAAAUUUUUAUUAUAUGAAUAUAAAUAUACUACGGUUAUUAAUAAAUAUAAUCAUAUAUAAUGUAAUUAUUAGUAAUAGUUUAUUAAACUAUAUAAAGGAAUUCGGCAAGAAAAUUUUUCACCUGUUUAUCAAAAACAUAGCUUAUUGAAUAUCAUAAUAAGUAACCCCUGCUCAAUGGAAAUCUAAAUAGCCGCAGUACCUUGACUGUGCAAAGGUAGCAUAAUCAAUUGGCUUAUAAUUGAAGUCUGGAAUGAAUGGGUAAUCUGGAAAAUAACUGUCUUUAUUUAUAGUAUUUUGAAUUUACUUAUAAAGUGAAAAUACUUUAAUAUAAAUAUAAGACGAGAAGACCCUAGAAAUUUUUUGUUAAUAACUUUUGUUGGGGCGACAGGGUAACAUAUAAACUUACUUACAUUUAUAUAAAUCUUAUAAGGUACGUAACUAAAUUACUCUAGGGAUAACAGCAUAAUAUAUAAAAGUUUAUGACCUCGAUGUUGGACUAGGUAAUUAAAUAUUUAAAAGAUAUCUUAAUUUGCUCUGUUCGAGCAGUACCACCUACAU
rnacentral:rRNA from 1 species